AAAGUUUCAACAACGGAUCUCUUGGUUCUCGCAUCGAUGAAGAACGCAGCAAAGCGCGAUAGUUAGUGUGAAUUGCAGACGUGAAUCAUUGAGUUUUUGAACGCACAUUGCACCUUCUGGUAUUCCGGGAGGUAUACUUGUGCGAGCGUCAUU
rnacentral:rRNA from 2 species